rnacentral:siRNA from 1 species
UCAAAACUUUCAUGGUGUAGCC